rnacentral:tRNA from 1 species
UGCCGGGUAGCUCAACGGGUAGAGCGCAGCACUUUGACUGCUGCGGUUAUGAGUUCAAGUCUCAUCCCGGUUGCCA